GGGCCCGCACAAGCAGUGGAGCAUGUGGUUUAAUUCGAUGCAACGCGAAGAACCUUACCAGGGCUUGACAUACUACAAAUCUUUUAGAGAUAGAAGAGUGCUUUCGAGAAUGUAGAUACAGGUGGUGCAUGGCUGUCGUCAGCUCGUGUCGUGAGAUGUUGGUUAAGUCCCGCAACGAGCGCAACCCUUGUUUCUAGUUGCCUUUUGGAACUCUAGAAAGACUGCCGGUUAUAAACCGGAGGAAGGCGGGGAUGACGUCAAGUCAGCAUGCCCCUUACACCCUGGGCUACACACGUGCUACAAUGGGCGAGACAAUGAGCUGCAAAUCUGCGAAGAUUAG
rnacentral:rRNA from 1 species